GGUCAAGCGAAUAAGUGCAUGUGGUGGAUGCCUUGGCGAUUACAGGCGAUGAAGGACGUAGUAGCCUGCGAAAAGCUGCGGGGAGCUGGCAAACAAGCUUUGAUCCGCAGAUGUCCGAAUGGGGAAACCCGGCCCGUAUGGGUCAUCCCUUGCUGAAUACAUAGGCAAGGGAAGCGAACGCAGCGAACUGAAAC
rnacentral:rRNA from 1 species